GGUUUCAUGGUGUAGCGGUUAUCACGUCUGCUUUACACGCAAAAGACCCUGAGUUCGAUCUCCGUGAAACCA